rnacentral:rRNA from 1 species
CCUACGGGAGGCAGCAGUGGGGAAUAUUGCACAAUGGGCGCAAGCCUGAUGCAGCGACGCCGCGUGAGGGAUGACGGCCUUCGGGUUGUAAACCUCUUUCAGUUGGGAAGAAGCCUUUCGGGGUGACGGUACCUUCAGAAGAAGCGCCGGCUAACUACGUGCCAGCAGCCGCGGUAAU